rnacentral:lncRNA from 1 species
UAUAAGGAAGAGACCGAUAAAAAAAAAGGAGAAGAUUAUAGUUUCCUUGUGUGUUCAGAUAUUGGAAAUAGAGACAAUACAUUCAAGAGGUAAUUGAUUGUGUGACCCUAACGUGAAUGCUUAAGCAACUAGUCAUUCUCCGUGUUUGAAUCCCCCUAUACGGGUUUAUUCCCAUUAGAUUAAUUUGAAAUAAGUAAAAUG